UAAGGAAUAUUGGUCAAUGGACGAAAGUCUGAACCAGCCAUGCCGCGUGAAGGAUGAAGGCCCUCUGGGUUGUAAACUUCUUUUAUCUGGGACGAAACAAGGGAAUUCUUUCCCUCUUGACGGUACCAGAGGAAUAAGCACCGGCUAACUCCGUGCCAGCAGCCGCGGUAAUACGGAGGGUGCAAGCGUUAUCCGGAUUUACUGGGUUUAAAGGGAGCGUAGGUGGGUCGGUAAGUCAGUGGUGAAAUCUUCGAGCUUAACUCGGAAACUGCCAUUGAUACUAUCGAUCUUGAAUUAUCUGGAGGUAAGCGGAAUAUGUCAUGUAGCGGUGAAAUGCUUAGAUAUGACAUAGAACACCCAUUGCGAAGGCAGCUUACUACGGAUAUAUUGACACUGAGGCUCGAAAGCGUGGGGAUCAAACAG
rnacentral:rRNA from 1 species